CCACACGGCAUCAAAUUCUCCACCUAAAAAGCCUUUCCACAACACAAAUGAAGAACUAGUGACAGAGGAGCUACAGAGCAACGCAGUUCAGCACUUCUGGUGUGUCAGUGCAACUCAUUGUCAAAGUGAUGAAAGGUACACAGAAUUCUCUCGAAAUCAUCAGUGCACAUGUAAUGCCCUCACA